UGGGGAAUCUUGCCCAAUGGGCGAAAGCCUGAGGCAGCAACGCCGCGUGUGGGAUGACGGCCCUCGGGUUGUAAACCACUUUCAGCAGGGACGAAAUUGACGGUACCUGCAGAAGAAGCUCCGGCCAACUACGUGCCAGCAGCCGCGGUAAUACGUAGGGAGCGAGCGUUGUCCGGAUUUAUUGGGCGUAAAGCGCGCGUAGGCGGUUUGAUAAGCCGGGUGUGAAACCUCCAAGCUCAACUUGGAGCGGCCACUCGGAACUGUCAUGACUUGAGUCAGGUAGGGGAACACGGAAUUCCAGGUGUAGCGGUGAAAUGCUUAGAUAUCUGGAGGAACACCAGUGGCGAAGGCGGUGUUCUGGGCCUGUACUGACGCUGAUGCGCGAAAGCGUGGGGAGCGAACAG
rnacentral:rRNA from 1 species